CCCUUAGAUGUCCUGGGCCGCACGCGCGCUACACUGAGUGUCUGAGAUACGAGUCUGCCUGGUCCGGCAAGGUCUAGGUAAUCGCUAAAAGACACAUCAUGCUUGGGAUAGAUUAUUGCAAAUAUUAAUCUUGUACGAGGAAUUCCUAGUAAGCGCAAGUCAACAGCUUGCGUUGAUUACGUCCCUGCCCUUUGUACACACCGCCCGUCGCUACUACUGAUUGGAUGUUUAAGCGAGGUUCUCGAACUGCUAGCGACUUAGCUUCGGUGAGGUCGCAGUGUGGGAAGUGAACCUAGCUUUGGUGUCUAGAGGAAGUAAAAGUCGUAACA
rnacentral:rRNA from 1 species